AAGAGAGAGGAGAAAAGCCGUGGCACUGAUGGCAACACACUCACAGAAUCGAUGACUAAUAUUCCCAAAUCCUAAAGGCCAUACAACAGAGCGAAAAGCUAGCUACAAGGUGUCCAGGUUCAAUGCACUCUAGCAGAGACCUAGAUGAUGAGGAGUAGUUUCAAAGCAGAGGAGAUACUUGGAAAGGGCAUGGAGAUGGAGAUGGAUAUGCUUGGGUAUAAGUAUCUUUGGAGAAGCAUCAUUCGCAGAGGCGAGACGAUGGCGAUGCGGCGGGAGCUUUUCCUCUUCUUCCUCAUGCCGUAGGAGGGGAAGGAGAGGCCGUCGUCGUCGUCGUCCUUGCAUGGAGUACCCCCAUUCACACUUCUUGGCUGUCUAGUUCGUCGUCGUUCGUUCAGGUAGGGAGGGUUUUGUUCCUGUAAUUCCCUUGUGUUGUUCCUCGUGGAGAUGGGGUUGUAUCUGCUCCUUCUCUUGCCGCGUGUUGUUGUAUAGAGGUAGGGAGGGCAUCUCGUCUGUUUUGGCCACUUCGUGUGUUUCCUUCGUCAUUUACAGUGAUAUCAGUCUGUACUCUGUAGUAGUCUGUCUUACACUGUAAUUUCCAGGAUUUUUGGUUUCUUUUUUGUAACUUCAGAUAUGUGCAACUUCCGGUGUAAAUGGUGGUACAUUUAACUGAAUUUCCGCUUCCAGUGUUUUGUUA